GACGAACGCUGGCGGCGUGCCUAACACAUGCAAGUCGAACGAGGUCCAUGCAGUGGCAACACUGCGGAAGACCUAGUGGCGAACGGGUGAGUAACACGUGAGGAACCUGCCCCGAAGACCGGGGAUAACCCUCCGAAAGGAGAGCUAAUACCGGGUACCCCCACCUGAUCGCAUGAUCGGGUGAGGAAAAUGGAUUCCGCUUCGGGAGGGCCUCGCGGCCUAUCAGCUUGUUGGUGGGGUAACGGCCCACCAAGGCAUCGACGGGUAGCUGGUCUGAGAGGACGAUCAGCCACACUGGGACUGAGACACGGCCCAGACUCCUACGGGAGGCAGCAGUGGGGAAUCUUGCGCAAUGGGCGAAAGCCUGACGCAGCAACGCCGCGUGGGGGAUGAAGGCUCUCGGGUUGUAAACCCUUUCAGCAGGGACGAAUCAAGACGGUACCUGCAGAGAAGCCCGGCUAACUACGUGCCAGCAGCCGCGU
rnacentral:rRNA from 1 species